AGCGAACGUUAGCGGCGCGCUUAACACAUGCAAGUCGAGCGAGAAAGGGCUUCGGCCCCGGUAAAGCGGCGCACGGGUGAGUAACACGUAGGUAAUCUACCUCCAGGUGGUGGAUAACGUUCCGAAAGGAACGCUAAUACAGCAUAAGACCACAGCUUCGCAGGGAGCAGAGGUCAAAGCGGGCCAAUACUUGUAAGCUCGCGCCGGGAGAUGAGCCUGCGGCCCAUCAGCUAGUUGGUAGGGUAAUGGCCUACCAAGGCGAAGACGGGUAGCUGGUCUGGGAGGAUGAUCAGCCACACUGGAACUGAGACACGGUCCAGACUCCUACGGGAGGCAGAAGUGGGGAAUCUUGCGCAAUGGGCGAAAGCCUGACGCAGCGACGCCGCGUGAGUGAUGAAGGCCUUCGGGUUGUAAAGCUCUGUGGAGGGGGACGAAUAAGUUUCGGUUAACACCCGGAGCGAUGACGGUACCCCUUUAGCAAGCACCGGCUAACUCUGUGCCAGCCGCCGCAGUAACAC
rnacentral:rRNA from 1 species